AUUGAACGCUGGCGGCAGGCCUUACACAUGCAAGUCGGACGAGUGGCGAACGGGUGAGUAACGCCUCGGAACGUACCGAGUGAUGGGGGAUAACUGUCCGAAAGGACAGCUAAUACCGCAUACUAUUCGAGCGGCCGAUGUGUGAUUAGCUGGUUGGUGGGGUAAAGGCUCACCAAGGCGACGAUCAGUAGCGGGUCUGAGAGGAUGAACAGCCACAUUGGAACUGAGACACGGCCCAGACUCCUACGGGAGGCAGCAGUGGGGAAUCUUGGACAAUGGGCGAAAGUCUGACCGAGCAACGCCGCGUGUGUGAAGAAGGUUUUCGGAUCGUAAAACUCUGUUGUUAGGGAAGCGGUAUCUGACCAGAAAGCCACGGCUAACUACGUGCCAGCAGCCGCGGUAAUAC
rnacentral:rRNA from 1 species